rnacentral:rRNA from 1 species
ACGGGAGUAACAUUUAGGAAUCUGCCUAGUAGUGGGGGAUAGCUCGGGGAAACUCGAAUUAAUACCGCAUACGACCUACGGGUGAAAGGGGGCGCAAGCUCUUGCUAUUAGAUGAGCCUAAAUCAGAUUAGCUAGUUGGUGGGGUAAAGGCCUACCAAGGCGACGAUCUGUAACUGGUCUGAGAGGAUGAUCAGUCACACCGGAACUGAGACACGGUCCGGACUCCUACGGGAGGCAGCAGUGGGGAAUAUUGGACAAUGGGGGCAACCCUGAUCCAGCCAUGCCGCGUGUGUGAAGAAGGCCUUUUGGUUGUAAAGCACUUUAAGCAGGGAGGAGAGGCUAAUGGUUAAUACCCAUUAGAUUAGACGUUACCUGCAGAAUAAGCACCGGCUAACUCUGUGCCAGCAGCCGCGGUAAUACAGAGGGUGCGAGCGUUAAUCGGAAUUACUGGGCGUAAAGCGAGUGUAGGUGGCUCAUUAAGUCACAUGUGAAAUCCCCGGGCUUAACCUGGGAACUGCAUGUGAUACUGGUGGUGCUAGAAUAUGUGAGAGGGAAGUAGAAUUCCAGGUGUAGCGGUGAAAUG